UCAAAAGUUUUCGUCUCCAUGAUUCAGGAAGAUACGGAGUUGCAGAGGCGAAGGCAAAGGAAAAACAUUUUCCUUUGGACAGUGAUGCAGCGCGAUACUGGGCAACCCCUGGCCAGUGUUUGGCACUAAAGUUCAUGGUACGAUUCUGCUUUUCCAACUCCUCUGAAAUAUUUGCGGUGGUGAGUCUUUAUUAUCACCAGUCAUCUUCUUCCAUGGCGGUGGUACUAAGAAGGAUUUACAGUGAAGAUGAUGGAGUAGUCAUCAGGACCUCAUCUUCACCAGCCAAGCGUGCCUGUAGGCUGGUUAUCAUGGUGGCUUUUUAUCCUGUUCUUUUUCUUUUUUUGGGUUGGUUUGUUUGUUUGUUUCUUCUGUUCCAAUGCAAAUGCGGGGCCACCCACACAUGCAGCCUCCAUUUCAAAUUCUGAGACUCAUAGCACGGCAAUGCCAGUAGGGAUUUUUAAGUGGAUUCGAGUCUGGUUAUUUCAAAUAUCAAAAGGUGAGGAGGGGCAUCUGUAGAGGGCCUUACUGAUUCUUUUU